AGAGUUUGAUCCUGGCUCAGGAUGAACGCUAGCGGCAGGCUUAAUACAUGCAAGUCGAGGGGCAGCACGGGGGCAACCCUGGUGGCGACCGGCGCACGGGUGCGUAACGCGUAUGUAACCUACCUCAGAGCGGGGGACAUCCUCGGGAAACUGAGAAUAAUACCCCAUAGAAUCUCGGGACCGCAUGGUCGAGAGAUUAAAGAUUUAUCACUUUGAGAUGGACAUGCGUAACAUUAGCUAGUUGGAGAGGUAACGGCUCCCCAAGGCUACGAUGUUUAGCUGGUCUGAGAGGAUGAUCAGCCACACUGGCACUGAGAUACGGGCCAGACUCCUACGGGAGGCAGCAGUAGGGAAUAUUGGACAAUGGGCGAGAGCCUGAUCCAGCCAUGCCGCGUGAAGGAAGAAGGCGCUCUGCGUUGUAAACUUCUUUUAGCAGGGGAUAAACCACCACUAUACGUGGUGCUGAAGGUACCUGCAGAAUAAGCACCGGCUAACUCCGUGCCAGCAGCCGCGGUAAUACGGAGGGUGCAAGCGUUGUCCGGAUUUAUUGGGUUUAAAGGGUGCGUAGGCGGUUUAAUAAGUCAGUGGUGAAAGGCUUGGGCUCAACCCAGGCAUUGCCAUUGAUACUGUUAAACUUGAGUACGGUCGAGGUGGUUGGAAUGCGUAGUGUAGCGGUGAAAUGCUUAGAUAUUACGCAGAACACCUAUUGCGAAGGCAGAUCACUAGACCGGAACUGACGCUGAUGCACGAAAGCGUGGGUAGCGAACAGGAUUAGAUACCCUGGUAGUCCACGCCGUAAACGAUGGUUACUAGGUGUUCUGGGGCAACCCGGAGUACCCAAGCGAAAGCGAUAAGUAACCCACCUGGGGAGUACGACCGCAAGGUUGAAACUCAAAGGAAUUGACGGGGGCCCGCACAAGCGGUGGAGCAUGUGGUUUAAUUCGAUGUACGCGAGGAACCUUACCUGGGCUAGAAUGCGCGUGACUGUACCUGAAAGGGUACAUCUCUUCGGAGCACAAAGCAAGGUGCUGCAUGGCUGUCGUCAGCUCGUGCCGUGAGGUGUUGGGUUAAGUCCCGCAACGAGCGCAACCCCUAUUCUUAGUUGCCAGCAUUUAGAUGGGGACUCUAAGAAGACUGCCUGCGCAAGCAGAGAGGAAGGUGGGGGCGACGUCAAGUCAUCAUGGCCCUUACGCCCAGGGCUACACACGUGCUACAAUGGCCGGUACAAAGGGUUGCGAAGCAGCGAUGCGGAGCUAAUCUCAAAAAGCCGGUCUCAGUUCGGAUUGGAGUCUGCAACUCGACUCCAUGAAGCUGGAAUCGCUAGUAAUCGCGCAUCAGCCACGGCGCGGUGGAUACGUUCCCGGGCCUUGUACACACCGCCCGUCAAGCCAUGGGAGUUGGGGGUACCUGAAGCCGGUGGCCGAACCGAAAGGUAGGAGCCGUCUAGGGUAAAACCAAUGACUGGGGCUAAGUCGUAACAAGGUA
rnacentral:rRNA from 1 species